rfam:Triticum aestivum genome assembly, contig: Triticum_aestivum_CS42_TGACv1_scaffold_114129_2AS
UUUCUACUCCCUCCGUCCAAAAAUACUUGUCAUCAAAAUGGAUAAAAGAGAUGUAUCUAAAACUAAAAUACGUCUAGAUACAUUUCCUUUUAUCCAUUCUGAUGACAAGUUUUUCCGGACGGAGGGAGUAUUUG